GACGAACGCUGGCGGCGUGCUUAACACAUGCAAGUCGAACGGAAAGGCCCUGCUUUUGUGGGGUGCUCGAGUGGCUAACGGGUGAUUAACACGUGAGUAACCUGCCCUUGACUUUGGGAUAACUUCAGGAAACUGGGGCUAAUACCGGAUAGGAGCUCCUGCUGCAUGGUGGGGGUUGGAAAGUUUCGGCGGUUGGGGAUGGACUCGCGGCUUAUCAGCUUGUUGGUGGGGUAGUGGCUUACCAAGGCUUUGACGGGUAGCCGGCCUGAGAGGGUGACCGGCCACAUUGGGACUGAGAUACGGCCCAGACUCCUACGGGAGGCAGCAGUGGGGAAUAUUGCACAAUGGGCGGAAGCCUGAUGCAGCAACGCCGCGUGCGGGAUGACGGCCUUCGGGUUGUAAACCGCUUUCGCCUGUGACGAAGCGUGAGUGGCGGUAAUGGGUAAAGAAGCACCGGCUAACUACGUG
rnacentral:rRNA from 1 species